UGGGGAAUUUUGGACAAUGGGCGAAAGCCUGAUCCAGCCAUGCCGCGUGAGUGAAGAAGGCCUUCGGGUUGUAAAGCUCUUUUAGUCGGAAAGAAAGAGUUGCAAUGAAUAAUUGUGAUUUAUGACGGUACCGACAGAAAAAGCACCGGCUAACUACGUGCCAGCAGCCGCGGUAAUACGUAGGGUGCGAGCGUUAAUCGGAAUUACUGGGCGUAAAGGGUGCGCAGGCGGUCUUGCAAGUCAGAUGUGAAAGCCCCGGGCUUAACCUGUGAAUUGCGUUGGAAACUACAAGACUAGAGUGCAGCAGAGGGGAGUGGAAUUCCAUGUGUAGCAGUGAAAUGCGUAGAGAUGUGGAAGAACACCGAUGGCGAAGGCAGCUCCCUGGGUUGACACUGACGCUCAUGCACGAAAGCGUGGGGAGCAAACA
rnacentral:rRNA from 1 species